rnacentral:rRNA from 1 species
UAUGUGCCGCCGCCGCGGUAUACAUAGGGUGCAGCGUUGUCCUGAAUUAUUGGGCGUAAACAGCUCGUAUGUGGUUCGUCGCGUCGGAUGUGAAAAUCUGGGGCUUAACCCCAGACCUGCAUUCGAUACGGGCAAGCUAGAGUGUGGUAGGGGAGACUGGUAUUCCUGGUGUAGCGGUGGAAUGCGCAGAUAGCAGAAGGAACACGAAUGGC